rnacentral:rRNA from 1 species
UUCUUAGUUCGUGGAGUGAUCUGUCUGCUUAAUUGCGUUUCACUAAGGGCCCAUAAAUUCAAGGUAUGUUAGCUAUCGUUUCUCAAUUGACCCCUUGUCCUCGAUAAGCGCGUGUCUUUUAGAGUUUAAACAUUGCGCAUGCUGUUGGGUCCUGAAAGCAACGAACGUGACCGCAACGUCUUAUUGCCUUUAUCUUGUUAUAUUCUAAUUUAAUUAGAAAUAGCUAACAGAGGCUAAUUUAAAAUUAGACGGACCGCUGUACUUUUCUUAAACCAGAGGAAGGUUGCGGCAAUAACAGGUCUGUGAUGCCCUUAGAUGUUCCGGGCUGCACACGUGCUACAAUGAUCAGUACAGUGAGCAUCUCAAUAUUAUACACCGUAUUAAGCGCUUAGUUGCGAUUAUUGGCUCAUUAUUGGGUCUUUUAAUUGUAUUUCUAAUGCGCGCGGUAAAGCCUGCUUCGAGAGUAAGUGGGUAAUCCAUUGGAAGUAAUGAUUUCUCUUUUUAUAGCACACCUAUAUACGGCAUUCAUUCCCGGGACGACUAGUUUC